GAUGAACGCUGGCGGCGUGCUUAACACAUGCAAGUCGAACGAUGAAGCCCAGCUUGCUGGGUGGAUUAGUGGCGAACGGGUGAGUAACACGUGAGUAACCUGCCCUUAACUCUGGGAUAAGCCUGGGAAACUGGGUCUAAUACCGGAUAGGAGCGUCCACCGCAUGGUGGGUGUUGGAAAGAUUUAUCGGUUUUGGAUGGACUCGCGGCCUAUCAGCUUGUUGGUGAGGUAAUGGCUCACCAAGGCGACGACGGGUAGCCGGCCUGAGAGGGUGACCGGCCACACUGGGACUGAGACACGGCCCAGACUCCUACGGGAGGCAGCAGUGGGGAAUAUUGCACAAUGGGCGCAAGCCUGAUGCAGCGACGCCGCGUGAGGGAUGACGGCCUUCGGGUUGUAAACCUCUUUCUGUAGGGAAGAAGCGAAAGUGACGGUACCUGCAGAAGAAGCACCGGCUAACUACGUG
rnacentral:rRNA from 1 species